rnacentral:rRNA from 1 species
AUUGAACGCUGGCGGCAGGCCUAACACAUGCAAGUCGAGCGGAGCGGCGGACGGGUGAGUAAUGCCUAGGAAUCUGCCUGGUAGUGGGGGAUAACGUUCGGACACGGGCGCUAAUACCGCAUACUAUCAGAUGAGCCUCGGUCGGAGUACGUAGUUGGUGGGGUAAAGGCCUACCAAGGCGACGAUCCGUAACUGGGCUGAGAGGAUGAUCAGUCACACUGGAACUGAGGCACGGUCGAGACUACUAAGGGAGGCAGCAGUGGGGAAUAUUGGACAAUGGGCGAAAGCCUGAUCCAGCCAUGCGGAGUGAGUGAAGAAGGUCUUCGGAUGGGAAAGCACUUUAAGUUGUGAGGCGUUACCAACAGAAUAAGCACCGGCUAACUUCGUGCCAGCAGCCGCGGUAAUAC